AUGCCAGAGAUGGGUGUUCCUUCAGGGCCUGAGUCGGCAGAGCUGGAAGCUUCUUCAGGUCUGACCUCGUCACGUCGUUACUGUGACACACACAGACACACACAGACACACACAGACACUCACUCAGGAUGUAAGAGAGCAGCCAUUGUCAGAGCAGUACAAAGGGACUGGCAGGAGAAAGGAGUGGGUUUAGAACCCUGCUACUAUAGGUCAGAUCACAGCUGCAGCUCCACUUUACAGGGGGACAUCCUCUUAUAUAUCUGACACACACAGACACACACAGACACACUGAACAUCAUGCAUGAUAAAUAGCUAGACAACUAUUACUGAAAUAUGACUGGUGUUCUCUUACAGUAUAAUAAAGUUAUUAUCUGCCUUCUUCACAGAGUUACGGUAGUGUGCAGACAUCUGUCUGACUAGGGGGCAUGCCUGUGUUUCCUGCUGGAGGCUGUAUGUAUGUACUGUAUGUACUGUAUGUACUGUAUGUACAUGUGUGUUUUUCUAUGAUGUGACCAUACCUGACACAGAAGUACAGUACGAUGGGUCCAGACUUCUUGGGGAACUCGUGUUCUAGAACCCUUCGGUCCAACUGCAGCCAGCUGAAAUGACCCCUGGAGACACAACAACCAAUCAAAUGUCAGCAUACUGCACACCCAACCAAUGAGGAGACAAACUCAGUACACUACAGACCUGACUGAUUCAAUAAUGAAUAGUACAGCCUAGCUCCCUGCGCUUCACACUCUACCCCUCCUCUACCCAUCCUCUCUCUUUCUUUCUCUCUGACAGGGAUGAAAACUGCAGAGGCAGCUUGUCACCCUGGUAACCCUGCAUGGAGUUAUGGGCAACAUGCAGCUCUUUCAGCUCUCAGACACAGAAACAACCAAUCUACAUCAUAGAACUGAGGGACUGGCAGAGAAACAGAGAGACAGAACUGGGGUGUGUCUUUGUCACAGGAGGCUGGUAGCACCUUAAUUGGGGAGGACGAGCUUGUGGUAUUGGCUGGAGCGGAAACAUUGGAAUGGUAUAAUAUACAUCAAGAGGUAUAAAAUACCACAGACUGUCAGCCUCUACGUAAAUCAAUAACCAACAGUAUUCUAGGGAAUAGCAGGCUGGGACAAGAGUGUAUGACUGGAAAUAAAAGUUAUAUAUUUAAGAAAUAAGGAAAGGGAAAGAGGGAUACCUGGUCAGAAUGCAUUCAACUGAAAUGCAAUAAGGCCCGAGGGGGUGUGGUUUAUACCACGGGUAAGGGCUGUUCUUACGCACGACACAUUGCGGAUUGCCUGGACACAGCCCUUAGCCGUGGUAUAUUGGCCAUAAACCACAAACCCCUGAGGUGCCUUAUUGCUAUUAUAAACUGGUUACCAACGUAAUUAGAGCAGUAAAAAUAAAGGUUAUGUCAUAACCGUGGUAUACGGUCUGUUAUACCAAGGCUUUCAGCCAAUCAGCAUUCAGGGCUCAAACCACCCAGUUUAUAAUAAUACUUUCAUCUGUCAUCCUCUGGGCUCACAUCCUCACUCCCAAAAUAACAUAAAAUGUCAUCCUUACAUUUUAAACAUACAUUUCUCAGUAUAUAAUAAACAGGGUACGGUGUAGUUACAUCCCAUUCGAGGUGUGUAAGUGCUGGGCUGGAACAAAACCCUGCACAUCACAUAUAUCCCCAGGACCAGGACUACAUCCAUGGUGAUGGUAGUGUAUCUCCAGGACUACAACCAUGGUGAUGGUAGUGUAUCUCCAGGACUACAUCCAUGGUGAUGGUAGUGUAUCUCCAGGACUACAACCAUGGUGAUGGUAGUGUAUCUCCAGGACUAAAUCCAUGGUGAUGGUAGCGUAUCCCCAGGACCAGGACUACAACAAUGGUGAUGGUAGUGUAUCUCCAGGACUACAUCCAUGGUGAUGGUAGUGUAUCCCCAGGACUACAUCCAUGGUGAUGGUAGUGUAUCCCCAGGACCAGGACUACAACCAUGGUGAUGGUA
rnacentral:lncRNA from 13 species